AAAUUGAAGAGUUUGAUCAUGGCUCAGAUUGAACGCUGGCGGCAGGCCUAACACAUGCAAGUCGAACGGUAACAGGAAGCAGCUUGCUGCUUUGCUGACGAGUGGCGGACGGGUGAGUAAUGUCUGGGAAACUGCCUGAUGGAGGGGGAUAACUACUGGAAACGGUGGCUAAUACCGCAUAACGUCGCAAGACCAAAGAGGGGGACCUUCGGGCCUCUUGCCAUCAGAUGUGCCCAGAUGGGAUUAGCUUGUUGGUGAGGUAACGGCUCACCAAGGCGACGAUCCCUAGCUGGUCUGAGAGGAUGACCAGCCACACUGGAACUGAGACACGGUCCAGACUCCUACGGGAGGCAGCAGUGGGGAAUAUUGCACAAUGGGCGCAAGCCUGAUGCAGCCAUGCCGCGUGUAUGAAGAAGGCCUUCGGGUUGUAAAGUACUUUCAGCGGGGAGGAAGGUGUUGCGGUUAAUAACCGCAGCAAUUGACGUUACCCGCAGAAGAAGCACCGGCUAACUCCGUGCCAGCAGCCGCGGUAAUACGGAGGGUGCAAGCGUUAAUCGGAAUUACUGGGCGUAAAGCGCACGCAGGCGGUCUGUCAAGUCGGAUGUGAAAUCCCCGG
rnacentral:rRNA from 1 species